AGAAAGUGAAUCUGCAGAACUGUUCAUGAAAAUAAAGAAGUGCAACAUGAAUUCAACAGAUAAUUUGCAUCAAUCUUCAUUAUAGAAGAUACAAGUGUGGGAACUUCUGACUUCUGGAGUGAUUUUUGAGCCUUUCUUGCAGUUUAUCCCUGUGGUCUUCAAGUUGUAUCAUCACCUCCUUUGACUAUCUUUUAGUUUAAAAAGUUUCCAGUCUAAAUUGCUGUCUGAUCAGGUUCUUGCCUGACAAUGAGACCUCCAUCAACUAUUGUUUCAACCGCAAUAAUGUAAACUGGAUAGUAGUCAAAACUGGAGAUCAAGUUGUACACAAAACCUGGCAGAAUUGGAAGAAAUAUUUUUUACUUGUGAAUAAGUAUUGCCCUCUUAGCUGUAGUUUAUCUAUGGCUGUUCAUUGAAGGUAGCUAAGAAUAUUGAGGAUCCAGCACAAACUGCAUUGAUGCAUUUGGCUGAGAAAAGCAGAUCCAUAUAUGCUUUUGCAAGUUCAGUGACUCUUUGAAGUCAAUUGGCUCGAUUUAAUUGUCGUUUUUGCUGUUCAAAGAGUUGUUCAGAAAUACGUCCUCUUCCAAAGUAAUCCGUGAAUGUUCCCACUAUCACAAAUGCUUCAUCAUUUCCUCUAGCUGUCAAGACCAGGGUUGAAGAUCACUUCUGCUGUUUACUGAGGAUGAGGGCGAGCUUUAAUGAAUCACAAAAUUGUUACGGUGCAGAAAGAGGCCAUUUGACACAUUGGUGUCUGCACUGGCUAUCUGUGCACUUUGAUUUACUCCCAAUAUCCUCCCCAUAUCUAAAUAUCUGUCCCUAUUUAAAUUAUCCAUCUUAGAUGCCCUCUUAAAUGCUUUCACCACACUUGUAGGCAGUGCAUUCCAUCCCAAACUGCUUGCACUGCAAAAAGGUUUUCUCACCUUGCAUUGCUUUUUCCAUAAUCACUAUAUGACUGUGUCCUCUGGUUCUCAAUCUAUUUAUGAGAAUAGUUUCUCUUUAAACAUUCUAUCCAGGCUAUAUCAAUUUUGAAAACUUUGAUCAUAUCUCCUCUUAGUCCUCUCCUCUCCAAGGGAAACAGUUCCAAUUUCUCCAAUCCAUCUUCAUUUGUGAAGUGUUUUUUCUCUGAAACAAUUUUUGUAGACCUCUUCUACACUCUCUCAAAUUCAUUCACAUCGCUUCUAUAGUAUGGAACCCAAAACCGUACACAAUGUCCCGGAUGAGGUAUGACCAAUGUCUUACAUAAAUUCAUCAUAACCAGUCUGAUCUAUCCACGUUUCUGCUCCUUCACAUCUUUUAGAAUCGUACCCUUCAUUUUGUCCUGUCUCUCCAUAUUCUUUGUACCAAAGUGCAUUACUUCACAAUGGCUUUCAUCUAUCACAUAUCUGCCUACCCCACAUGUCUGUUUGCUCACUGCCCUAAUAUGUCAAAGCCUCUUGAAAGCUUUU